rnacentral:piRNA from 1 species
UAGAAGGGAAGCUCCAUGCAGGGUUGUGCU